rnacentral:lncRNA from 1 species
CAGUUAUUCUGGAAACAGACACAGUUGAGCUGAGCUGUGAGAAUACUGAAGAUCUGAAGAUGGAGAUGUGUUACUUCUACAUAAAUGGAGAACAAAGUAACUCAAAACAGAGCUCAUCAUGUCAGCUCUCACUCACUGGAUCUCAGAUCAGUGUUUGGUCUGGAGGUCAGAGUUCAUCUGUGAGAAUAAGCUGCUUCUACACUGUGAUGAAGGGACAAAUUAAAAAACCAUCUGCUCACUCUGAUCCAGUGACAGUUACAGUCCAGAUUUCAACAUCAACCAUUAAACAUACGAGUACAACAGUCACGACAACCUCUUUAACUGUAAUGUCCACUUCUGAAACCACAACAUACAGUAAAACUGUAGACCUUCAUUCCAAGACAAACCUUCCAACCAACACAGAAAAGGAAACAAUCUGUAAGUUAUCAAUGGUAAAACUAUGUCACUGUGUAAAAUUA